rnacentral:rRNA from 1 species
AAGCAUCGGCUAACUCCGUGCCAGCAGCCGCGGUAAUACGGAGGGAGCUAGCGUUGUUCGGAAUAACUGGGCGUAAAGCGCACGUAGGCGGAUACUUAAGUGAGGGGUGAAAUCCCAGGGCUCAACCCUGGAACUGCCUUUCAUACUGGGUAUCUCGAGUUCGAGAGAGGUGAGUGGAAUUGCGAGUGUAGAGGUGAAAUUCGUAGAUAUUCGCAGGAACACCA